GUUUGGAAUUGAUAUUGAAAACCGACUACUACGAUAUCAAAAUUGAUGCGGAUAAAAAAGAACGAUGUAAACCAAAUAAAGCAAUCUCUAAUACUAUAAAGUAUUUUGAGAAAUAUACAAAAUAUUAAUUAAUAUUCUAUUUUUAAUUCUUCUACUGAUAGAUGCUAGUAUAAACUUUUCCUUUGGUUAAUACUUGUUUACCAUUUUCUCUCAUGGAUUUUUUGUUGUUGUCAAAUCAGAGCUUUAGGCUAAGGAAAUUAAAUAAUCGUUUGAGAUAUAAUUGCUGCAUGCUUUGUAUAUAUAUAGUAGCAUUAUUGUAUAUAAUUCUAGGGAUUUCGAAAUCCAAAUGUGUUUAUACAUCUCUCCUCCUACGAAGACGCCUAGAGUGAGGAGAUAAGAUAAGAGGUCUAGAGGGACAUUACGUGUGUAAUGGUUCGACUUCAAAUUCUGGAAUUUAGUUGAAAGCUUGAAAUCCUAAGAGAGAAUGUGUAUAUUCAUAUAUUUUUCCUUGAAAUAUUUUGAGUUUUUGUUUCCUCAUAGUUUGGUAUGUAUCGAAUUACUAGGUCGUAAAUAACUGGACCCAUGUUUCUGAAAUAAAACAACUUGAGUUGAUUCGUUUCGAACUUCUUUAUGUAGGCAUUUAACAUAAAGCUUUAUAAGCUUUACAUAUUUUGGAAAUACUAUCAUGAUGUGACUAAAGAACAAUAUUGUUAUUAAGUGUACAUGUGUAUUGAGCAAUAGACGCAACGAAGAAAAGUAUGAGCUUAGUUGUAUGGGUUCAAGAUUUGAUUGCGUUAGCAGAGGUGCAAGUAGAAGCAGAGCCACGCUUUCUUUCUCUUUCUUUUCUUCUCAAUCAUAAAAGGUCGACUUCUUUUGGUUGGUCACUUAUUAAUAAAGAUGUUUCUUUGCAAAAUACUAUAAUCCAUAUAUAUAUGCAACCAUACCUAUGAGUAUACUGUAUAUUUGUUUUUUUUCUUUUAAUUAUAUAGAAUGCUACAGUUUGAUGUAAACUUAGUAUAAUAAAUUAAAUGAUAGAAAUAAAGCUGAAUUUGAACAAAAAAAAGAAAAGAAAUAAAGCUGAAUUAUAUACGUAAUAUAUGUAUCUUUAUCACUAAAAUGGAACCUAGUGUAGUAGGUUUACUGUGGAGUCUUCAGACCAAUAUGGUAUACUAAUCUAUUUUCAAGAACCGUAUAACAAUUUAUUUGCAUGUGGCGUGAAGGAUUAUUGAGUAGUUUUGGUUUAAGUGGUUUUCUUUUGUUGAUCAAACUCGGAAAUGUAGUUUGAUUGGUAUGCAUAUUUGACAAAUUAAAACAGCUAUUACAGUGCAUCUAGAAUUAUAUAUAGGAAACAACUAAUAAAAGAAAUUGAAUGUUGUCUAUGCGGACAAGUACUGAUAUUUAUUGGAAAUGACUGAUGAAUAUGAGGGUGGUCCAAACUCAAAGGUUACUAUUUUUUUCAAGCACCAAAGCUAUUUUCAUCCUUCUUUGUUUAUUUCAAGGAACAAUCAACGUUUGAUAGUUCCAACUUUUUGCUAAUUUCGUCUUCUGUUUUUACGCCAAAGGUACUAAUAAGUUGUCAAUUUUAAACAAAGCUUCAUAAAUUUUUCACAUUAUUGCCAUAAAAUAUCAUAAAACUAUAGAUUAUGACAAAUGUAAUUGCUACUACGAGCUUUUGAUAAUUAGUUAAAUGUAGGCGAAGGUGGAGUAUGCAACUCUUGCAAAUAUAUAUUAUUUUGACCCUUUUUGUCUGGCAUGAGUAACAUAAAUCAAUAGAAUGAAGUCAAGCAUUAACAUAAUAGAACCACUAUUAAAAAUUGUGUAGUAGAGAGCAUGGAUCAAUAUAUGAACUCCAUUAAUAUAAAGCUAAAAUUUGUCAAACACAGUUUAAUUUCGUUAUUACACUGAUAUGAUUUAAGGACAAACGACAGGUUGGAUUUAAAUAGUAGGUUGAGUUUUGAGCAAGUAUAGUAUGGAUGGACCAUACGAAUUAAGAUAGGAUAGCUACGUAAUUAAAACGAGUACUAUUACAAGAAGUUGAAGUUAUAUUACGUAUGAACAUGAUUCAUUGGAUGAAUUUUCUUUGACACGGAAAUUUUGAUUUGGACCGCCUAACCAAACGUCAACUUGGUCCCACUAAGCUCUACAGCUGUGCCAUUAUGAGAUUAGUUUCUAAGUGUAGUGGCUUAUCAUAGUUCUUAAUCAUGAGGGGCCUAAUCUCACUGUUAAUUCAACUCAGCAUAUAUUUCAUUUUAACGAACCCAUAUCUCAGACAACUAUGUAUGGUCUUGUCCAUUUCGGGCUCCAUUAAUGUUGCAAGCUCGUGUUAAUUAUAGAAAAUUAUAGUUGUGUAAUUCAAAAUUUUGGGUAAACAUUUUGGGUAAACGUCCCUGUGAACAGCUUCAAUGGUUGGGAUUUGGGAACGAUGAUCGGUAUUCUGUGUAGGGUAGAGCGAAUUUGUGGAAUGCGCCGGAUUGGUUGGUCGAUGCGAAGCAAAUGAUGUAAUAUCUGAAUUAGAAAAUUUUGUUUGAUUGGUGCUUGUAUUCGACAUUGUUUACCCAUUUAGGGGUUAAUUAAUAUAUAUAUCAUCGCAAUACUAAAAGCCAAAUAUGGUGCAAGAAGAAGCAUGCCACAUCAAUUAAAAUAAUCCACCAAUCAGAAGUUUUCUUUUUGAUAUGUCAUUGUUUCUUCUGUCAAAAUGAAAACCAGUGGGUUCGUGUGGGCUGAAUCUAUUUUUAGUAGCCCAAAUUGACACACUAUAGAACUCGAACAUACUUCGUCUUCUCCGUUUCAGCUUCAUGAAAUUUCCGUUAUCGACCCAUCUCUUAACAAUUAAUUGUAUUCAUUACUAUUGACUUUAUGAGUUCGUUUCGCUUUGCUUUGUUUCUCCAUCUGUAUAAAACCUCCGGUUAUACUUUAAUCCACCCAGAAACACUAACCUCCAUUGAAGAAGCUGGAGCUAUGGCAAUGAAACCCAACGGAAAGUCUCCCCUCUCCACCAGAAAAUCUGGCUUUGUAUUACUGCAGUUCGGUGCCGGAAUGGUCGUCUACUGGAUCACAAGAUGAGACCUUCAAAUAUUUGGAGCCAGAGCUCGAUGGUGACAACGGAGAUGCCAUGGAAAUAACGGGAUAAUGAAAUUCUUCUUUCAUUUCUUCUCCUGAAACAUUUUCAAAGAAGAAACAACUCUAAAAGCUUAGUUUUUGGAAUUUCAGAUCCUUAAGGUUGAGCGAAGCUCACUGGACAUCCUACUGUGUUCUCAGUGCACCACUACUUAGUUGAAGUCAAAGUUUUCCCCUAACAUUUUUCCUCUAUUCUUAUAGUGACUGCUAUCAACAUGGGAUUGGGUAACUCUUUUCAAAUAUUCGAUGAUUAUGGCUCUUUCAAGUGAUUUCCCUGGAGUGUAUACAGAAGCUAUUAUAAUAAGAGGCCUAUAAAGAAUAUAAAAGUACAGAACUUAUUGUUGUAUGUCUUUGGGAUGGCUUUUAGUGUUGUUGCUAUAGUGAUCCAGAUUUCGAUGCCAUCGCAAAUAAGUUAAGACAAAACUCAUCUUCUUAUUUCUGUACGUAUUCAGUAACCAAUUCCCUCAAGCUUCAUGUAAAAUAAUUCAAGAAACUGCCACUUAUUUAUAGUGUUGGUAUCAGAGAGCUCAUUAUUAUUGGAUUGCUGCAUUAUUAUCCCACUAUGUCGCAUCUGCUCAGGUAUUAAAGGGGUCGGUUUAUCAUUUUCAGGAGAUCCUUCCAUGGCUACUCAUUGAUCACAGUUCUGAUGAUUCUUAACCACACUUUCAGUGGCAUUGUCGUGUCAGUGGUGAUGAAAUAUGCAGAGAAUACUGUAAAGGUUUAUUAGACUUCAGUGGCACUGCUUCUCACUACAGUUGUCUCUGUAUACUUAUUCAAUUUUCAUGUUUCAUUAGCCUUUCUCCUGGGCUCAAGUAAGUUAACCGCAUUUGCCUCUGUCAAUACAAUCAAUCUAACAUUUUCACAUAAAAUCGCAUAACAUACGAACUGAUGUUUACUGUGUUCGCACUUAGCAGGAGAUUGAUAUGGUCUAUUGGAAUCUGUUAAGAUGAAUGUAUAUAUAGUUACGUACACCUUUUUUUGUUCAACUAUUGAUAUAUAAACCAAAACAGAGGAGUUUGCACAUGAGACAGAGAGAGGGAAUCUCUAUCCUUAUUGGCCAAAACAUAUUCUACGGACUAUCAUCAAAGGUCUGCACUACUACCAGUUAAUUUUGAUGGUUGAGAACACCAGUUUUGAGUUUACAUGAGUUCACGGCCUUUAAAAUGUCUGUUCCAAAUAUCUUGAAGAAUUAAUCAACUUCACUUUCAUAAUUUGAAGGAAAGUCAAUUACUUU